CCAAUAGCGUAUAUUAAAGUUGCUGCAGUUAAAAAGCUCGUAGUUGAAUUUCGGGACCAAUAUGUCGGUCGUGCCUCGGUACGUACUGGCAUUAUUGGUUUCUCCCUUCUGAAGAACCUGGAUGUCAUUAAUUUGGUGUCUUGGGGAAUCAGGACUGUUACUUUGAAAAAAUUAGAGUGUUUAAAGCAGGCUCGCGCUUGAAUACAUUAGCAUGGAAUAAUGAAAUAGGACGUUUGAUUCUAUUUUGUUGGUUUCUAGGAUCGACGUAAUGAUUAAUAGGGAUAGUUGGGGGCAUUAGUAUUCAAUUGUCAGAGGUGAAAUUCUUGGAUUUAUUGAAGACUAACUACUGCGAAAGCAUUUGCCAAGGAUGUUUUCAUUAAUCAAGAACGAAAGUUAGGGGAUCGAAGACGAUCAGAUACCGUCGUAGUCUUAACCAUAAACUAUGCCGACUAGGGAUCGGAUGAUGUUAAUUUUUUAAUGACUCAUUCGGCGCCUUACG
rnacentral:rRNA from 1 species